rnacentral:tRNA from 1 species
GCCCGGAUAGUGUAGCCUGGCCAUCACACGACCCUGUCACGGUCGUAACCCGAGUUCAAAUCUCGGUCCGGGCG